rnacentral:rRNA from 1 species
UACGUAGGGGGCAAGCGUUGUCCGGAUUUAUUGGGCGUAAAGAGCGUGUAGGCGGCCAGAUAGGUCCGUUGUGAAAACUCGAGGCUCAACCUCGAGACGCCGAUGGAAACCAUUUGGCUAGAGUCCGGAAGAGGAGAGUGGAAUUCCUGGUGUAGCGGUGAAAUGCGCAGAUAUCAGGAAGAACACCGAUGGCGAAGGCAGAUCUCUGGGCCGUAACUGACGCUGAGGAGCGAAAGCAUGGGGAGCGAACAGG